rnacentral:lncRNA from 1 species
ACGACAUUGAAUGCCGAGCUCGUGUGACGGUAAAUUCGGGGUCGGUAUGAUAUUAAUAUUUUUUUUUAUUAAAUUCCUUUAUAUUUAUAAAUAGGCUUUAUUCAUCAUUUGGUUCUUGAAUUAUACCCAUUUUUCAUAUUGGUACUUAAAUUGUUUUUUUUUUCUCAUUUGAUACUUGAAUUAUAGUUUCGUUGCACUUUUUGGCCCUUGCAAUUAACAGUGUUAAAAAAAAUCAGCAACCAAU